rnacentral:rRNA from 1 species
CCUACGGGUGGCAGCAGUGGGGGAUAUUGCACAAUGGGGGGAACCCUGAUGCAGCGACGCCGCGUGAGCGAUGGAGUACUUCGGUAUGUAAAGCUCUGGCAGCAGGGAGGAAAAUGACGGUACCUGACCAAGAAGCCCCGGCGAAAUACGUACCAGCAGCCGCGGUAAGACGUAUGGGGCAAGCGUUAUCCGGCGUUACUGGGUUUAAAGGGGGCGUAGGCGGCAGGGGAAGCCUGAUGUGAGAGCCCGGGGCUCAACCCCGGGACUGCAUUGGGAACUGCACCGAUGGAGUGCCGGGGGGGCAGGCGGAAUUCAUAGUGUAGCGGUGAAAUGCGUAGAUAUUAGGAGGAACACCAGUGGCGAAGGAGGCUUGCUGGACGGUGACUGACGCUGAGGCUCGAAAGCGUGGGGAGCAAACAGGAUUAGAUACCCCAGUAGUC